GGGUCAGUAGGUUGGUCGUGCCACCGGUACGUACUGGUCUCACUGUUUCCUCCUUCCUGAAGAACCGUAGUGCCAUUAAUUUGGUGUUGCGGGGAAACAGGACUGUUACUUUGAAAAAAUUAGAGUGUUUAAAGCAAGCUAACGCUUGAAUACAUUAGCAUGGAAUAAUGAAAUAGGACGAUCGAUCCUAUUUUGUUGGUUUCUAGGAUUGACGUA
rnacentral:rRNA from 1 species